rnacentral:misc_RNA from 1 species
GAUGAAGAACGUAGCGAAAUGCGAAAAGUAAUGUGAAUUGCAGAAUUCAGUGAAUCAUCGAAUCUUUGAACGCACAUUGCGCCCGCUGGUACUCCGGCGGGCACGCCUGUCCGAGCGUCAUUUCAACCCUCAAGCCCUCCUUCGGGAUGGGCCUGGUGUUGGGGCUCGGCCGCCAUCUCCGGCGGCCGUCCCCUAAAUACAGUGGCGGUCACGUCGCGACUCCUUUGCGUAGUAGAAACACCUCGCUCCGGAUAGCAACGCGGUCCACGCCGUAAAAUCCCCAAUUUUCAAUGGUUGACCUCGGAUCGGGUGGGAAUACCCGCUGAACUUAAGCAUAUCGAUAAGCGGAGGA